rnacentral:rRNA from 1 species
GAUGAACGCUGGCGGCGUGCCUAAUACAUGCAAGUCGAGCGAACAGAUGAGGAGCUUGCUCCUCUGACGUUAGCGGCGGACGCGUGAGUAACACGUGGAUAACCUACCUAUAAGACUGGGAUAACUUCGGGAAACCGGAGCUAAUACCGGAUAAUAUAUUGAACCGCAUGGUUCAAUAGUGAAAGACGGUUUUGCUGUCACUUAUAGAUGGAUCCGCGCCGCAUUAGCUAGUUGGUAAGGUAACGGCUUACCAAGGCAACGAUGCGUAGCCGACCUGAGAGGGUGAUCGGCCACACUGGAACUGAGACACGGUCCAGACUCCUACGGGAGGCAGCAGUAGGGAAUCUUCCGCAAUGGGCGAAAGCCUGACGGAGCAACACCGCGUGAGUGAUGAAGGUCUUCGGAUCGUAAAACUCUGUUAUUAGGGAAGAACAAAUGUGUAAGUAACUAUGCACGUCUUGACGGUACCUAAUCAGAAAGCCACGGCUAACUACGUG